rnacentral:rRNA from 1 species
UGGGGAAUAUUGCACAAUGGAGGGAACUCUGAUGCAGCGACGCCGCGUGAACGAAGAAGGCUUUCGAGUCGUAAAGUUCUUUUAUAUGGGAAGAUAAUGACGGUACCAUAAGAAAAAGCCCCGGCUAACUACGUGCCAGCAGCCGCGGUAAUACGUAGGGAGCUAGCGUUGUCCGGAAUCACUGGGCGUAAAGGGUUCGCAGGCGGAAAUGCAAGUCAGGUGUAAAAGGCAGUAGCUUAACUACUGUAAGCAUUUGAAACUGCAUAUCUUGAGAAGAGUAGAGGUAAGUGGAAUUUUUAGUGUAGCGGUGAAAUGCGUAGAUAUUAAAAAGAAUACCGGUGGCGAAGGCGACUUACUGGGCUCAUUCUGACGCUGAGGAACGAAAGCGUGGGUAGCAAACAGG